GUCGUGAGAUGUUGGGUUAAGUCCCGCAACGAGCGCAACCCCCGUCGCAUGUUGCCAGCAUUUAGUUGGGGACUCAUGCGAGACUGCCGGUGACAAACCGGAGGAAGGUGGGGAUGACGUCAAGUCCUCAUGCCCCUUAUGUUCAGGGCUACACACGUGCUACAUUGGCGCAUACAGAGGGCUGCGAUACCGCGAGGUGGAGCGAAUCCCUUAAAGUGCGUCUCGGUUCGGAUUGCAGGCUGAAAUUCGCCUGCAUGAAGGCGGAGUUGCUAGUAAUCGCGGAUCAGCAUUGCCGCGGUGAAUACGUCCCCGGGCCUUGUACACACCGCCCGUCACACCACGGGAGUGAGCAACACCCGAAGCCGGUGGCCUAACCCGCAAGGGAGGGAGCCGUCGAAGGUGGGGCUCGUGACUGGGGUGAAGUCGUAACAAGGUAGCCGUAGCGGAAGCUGCGGCUGGAUCACCUCCUUUCUAGGGAGCACCCUAAGCGGUGCCCCGAUCCAGGAUCCGUCGCAAGACGGCUCCGCGCGGUCGCCGGCCCUUGAGGCAGGCGAUGACUAACCGGAUCGGGCCUAGCAUGUCGACCGAACCUGGCUGGAUGGCCGCCGUCGGCGAGCCUCCCUUACUACUUGGGGAGUGCGACUCGACAAGGCCGCAAACGAUCCCAGCAUGCUGUUGAGUUUUGAGAGACCGGCGUCCGCCGGUAUCCGCGUGGACACGCCAAUAGGCGUGUCCAUCAAGGCGCGGAGACCGGCCGGCGUUCAUGCCUCUCCACGGUCCUUGAAAACUGCACAGAAGCCACAUCAGCCGCCAUCGAUAAGCGGCGGCUGAAUAACGGGUAUCACCGGGCCCUCAGUGAAUUGGAUGCUUCGCAAAAGGCAUCCCGGACGCUUUGGGCCAGAUCACCGUCAAGAUAGUAAGGGCACACGGUGGAUGCCUUGGCACCAAGAGUCGAAGAAGGGCGUGAACGGCUGCGAUAAGCCACGGUUAGGCGCUUAAUAGCCUAUGACCCGUGGAUUC
rnacentral:sRNA from 1 species